AGGACGAACGCUGGCGGCGUGCUUAACACAUGCAAGUCGAGCGGAAAGGCCCUUCGGGGUACUCGAGCGGCGAACGGGUGAGUAACACGUGGGCAACCUGCCCCUAGCUCUGGGAUAACUCCGGGAAACCGGUGCUAAUACCGGAUACGACCUCAUUAGGCAUCCUUUGAGGUGGAAAGAUUUAUCGGCUAGGGAUGGGCCCGCGGCCUAUCAGCUUGUUGGUGGGGUAACGGCCUACCAAGGCGACGACGGGUAGCC
rnacentral:rRNA from 1 species